UCAAACUGUAGUCCUUUUGCCUUUAUUAUAGAUACUGACCCAAUAACCUAAACAUCCUCUCCUCUGUCUGCCAGAUGUUUCUACAGCCAUCCAGUUCCAGACGAAAGGUAAACCAAACACUUGAAGAUAUUUACCUUGUUCUUGACUGUUGCCAAAGUGGAAUUUGUCCUGAUGGUGUAUUUUUACUAUGUAUUCCCUUUUUUUGCAGAUAUUGAAGCUGUCAAAGGUACAUGGUUUUAACAUCCAAAGCAUGCAGAUUAAUUAUUACGAUCUGUUUUGAUGGUUUUGAUCAUUUUUUUUUUGUAAAUUUGUUUUGUAGAGUUUGAUGGCACAUAUGACUACGACUAUGACUACAACAUCCAUUAUGAUUCCUGUAAGUCAAACAAGCAAAUAUCAAAUCGUAUGUCAUUUUUCAUUCAUUUUUAAUAAGGAAGGUUUUACAUAAAUAUGAAUAAACAUAUGUCUUUCUUCAUAGACUCUGAUGCAGAAGAAGCUGGUAAGUAUAUAUAUAUAUAUAUAUAUUUCAAAUCCAGUAUGGUGGCAUGUAGAGCCUAAAUCAUGAUGAAUGUGUCACUGUCCAAAUAUUCCAAAUAUUUUGGGUCCUAACUUAUAUAUUUUUUUUAAAAAGAAGGAAUAUUCCCAUUGUGAGUUACUGUCCAAAUACUUAUGCAAGUAUAGAAUAAUAUAUAUAUAUAUUUUUUUAAUCCCUUUCAUUACAGCUGCUCCAGACACUCCCUCAAUAAGUUCAGUUCGAGUCUUCUCCUCCUCAGUGGAUGGAGACCCGCAUUUUGUCGUAACUCUCCCGAAGCUACACCAGAAUCUGUGCUUUACUGUUGAUGGUGAAGCCAAUGAUGUGUUGCUUCUUUUGGAAGACCCAGGCAGAGGUAACAUUCAGUUAUGAUUACUUAAAAUAAACAGAAUAUACAGCUCUGAAACCA
rnacentral:lncRNA from 1 species